GGAAGUAAAAGUCGUAACAGGUCUCCGUAGGUGAACCUGCGGAGGGAUCAUUACAGAGUUUUUGCCCGCAAGGGUAGAUCUCCCACCCUAUGUUAUUCCUUCUCUGUUGCUUUGGCGGGCCGUCCGGCCUCGGUCAGGCCACCGGCUCCGGCUGGUGCGCGCCCGCCAGAGGACCCCAAACCCUAAAUGUCAGUGUCGUCUGAGUACUAUAUAAUAGUUAAAACUUUCAACAACGGAUCUCUUGGUUCUG
rnacentral:misc_RNA from 1 species